GGCAAGUAAGGCGACGCUGCAGCCCGUUCCCACAGUGGAGUGGAGGAAGUGCCACCAUGCUCUGGAAAGUCUGGAAAGUCUCUGCAUCUCUUGACGUAUAGUUUGGUGAGGAUAUAUCGGUGAACUUCACUGUUGCAAAAACACUGUUACCAAGUGAUAUUUACGUGCACAUGAGGCGGGAUGGUGGCUCCUGCAGACAGAGCAGAGGACUAUGUGGGGGCAGGGUUUACAGGGGUUACAGGUCACAAGCCUCCUGGGUUCCUUUGACCAGCGAAUGCGCUGAAGGGAUGAGCGAGAUGGGUUAAAUACAACUACCCGCAGUGUGGUCUCCAAAUUGUGAGUUUGCAGGAAAUGUUUGCCAGUGAUGUUGCACCAGAAGAAAAGUCUACAAUUUGAUGGAAAAAAUACAAAAGAAUACCAUGUGUGUGAGCGGAUUUAAGGACGACAUCCGCAAAGAUUCGCCUGCGCCCCUCUCUCCCCACCCCCACAAAGAGGAGAAAAACAACAAAAAAGAUGCUCUCACAAUUUCAUGCAUGACAGAACUUUUUGUUUGUGCAAAGAGGGCUGCAGAGGGUACAACAUUUGCGGACUUAAGAUGGUCCACACUGACGGCGUCCUCUUGCCUGGGGGAGUUGGAAGUAAUCCUGUACCUCGAUCCUCCUGCCUCCUAUGGUCCUCCAGCUAAGGUGCAUCUAGUGUAGUUAGUGGAAUAGUUCAGUACCUACUGCCCUAGUUGCUCCUUCUGGCUGGAGGAUUUGUUCUUUUUCAGGAUCUCAAAGAUGUGUCACUACAUUUGCCUUGAAAACGACCAUCUCUGGGAUGGAAAAUCUACUUUUGUUUUUACUUUUAGAAGACUAAUAUGUUUUACUUCUGUAAGUUCGACUUCAAGCACUUGUAGUCAUAACAAUCAUUUAAAAAAGAAUAGGAAAACAAGUGUUUAAAAACAAUACAUUUCUUAAAGGACAGCAGAAAUAUCAAUUUAUUCUUGUGCACGGUUUGUUCCCUCAGACAUCUUUUUAAGUGACUUUCUGACUCUGCUAAACAUGUUGUCGACUUUGCAGUUCCAAAGUGCUCACAGUGCAGGUAGUGCACACGGAUCUACUGCAGUUUGUGCACUUCAGGUAUUGCCGGUCACCUUCCCUCAUGCGUCAGCCUGUUUACACUUGAAGGUGGAACUCAUGUGGGUUUACAGCGAGUUUUGUUGGUUUGCUCUCAGCUUCUGCCAGUCUCUGCUGUGCAAAUCCAUGCAAAGCUCUCUGUUUCUCAAAUACACUGCCAAAGAAGAGAUACAGGUUUUUGUUUUCUGUUGUUCCAAGCUUUGAUGAACACUUGAAAGACUUAAAAAAUUGUAUUCACAGCAAGGCACAAGAGAGCAGCUGUUUGGUUUCCCUUCCUUUGUUGCAGUAGUCAGACUCUCCAGGCAUCUUAACAUUAAGUUUCUUUGACUGCUUGUCUCGCUGUUUUCAGAUGGAUGACUUCACAAUUUCAAUACUAGACAAAAUAAAAGAAAUUGCACAGUAUCCAUCUGCAAGCCGCCAGAUGUUGUGAACAGCUUCAUGUGUAUUAGAUUGUCCUAAAUUGUGAAGAAACAUAGAAGUUGGAUGUGCUUUUCUCUUAGUUAAUGAACUUUGUUCGAUCUUUAGAGAGGAUGAGCUACAAAUGUUGGCCUCUCUGGUGUUGUAUAUGCACACUGAACACUAGGUGGCACCAUUUCGACUUUAUUGGAUUUUUAGAGCUGAGUGGAAGAAGCAUACCUGUCCACUCAUGAUGAGAAGGUGAAGGAAUAAUCAGUGUCGGUAUUGAAUUAGAUUAAUCUACAGAUAAGAGGAUGCUGUUAAUUGUUGUGUCCCACUUGCUUUCUGUAAACUUUCUCCAUGUGGUUGAAUAAU
ensembl:lncRNA